rnacentral:rRNA from 1 species
UGAGUAACCUGCCCUUAACUCUGGGAUAAGCCUGGGAAACUGGGUCUAAUACCGGAUAUGACUCCUCAUCGCAUGGUGGGGGGUGGAAAGCUUUUUGUGGUUUUGGAUGGACUUGCGGCCUAUCAGCUUGUUGGUGAGGUAAUGGCUCACCAAGGCGACGACGGGUAGCCGGCCUGAGAGGGUGACCGGCCACACUGGGACUGAGACACGGCCCAGACUCCUACGGGAGGCAG